AAAACGGCCCUUUUCAGGGCCAACAUAAACGUACCACAAUCGGCCCU
rfam:Trachymyrmex zeteki contig10083, whole genome shotgun sequence.